UUAAUUGAAGAGUUUGAUCAUGGCUCAGAUUGAACGCUGGCGGCAGGCCUAACACAUGCAAGUCGAGCGGCAGCACAGAGGAACUUGUUCCUUGGGUGGCGAGCGGCGGACGGGUGAGUAAUGCCUGGGAAAUUGCCCGGUAGAGGGGGGAUAACCAUUGGAAACGAUGGCUAAUACCGCAUAACCUCGCAAGA
rnacentral:rRNA from 1 species